UUGAUCAGUGUUAGAGAGAAUGAUUGUAUUCUUUGUUGAAUAUAAUCAUCGCCGAAGGUGCAAGUAAAUACGAAUCUCUCAGGCAAAAGGAUGACACUGUGACG
rnacentral:ncRNA from 2 species